CCGAGAUCCAGGAGGAAGCUCAGAGGGGACAGGGCCUUCUCUAUUGUGGCUCCAAAAUUAUGGAAUAAUUUGCCCAUGCAUGUUAGAGAGGCCCCUUCACUGUCCACUUUUAAAUCACAUCUUAAAACCCACUUUUAUUCCUUGGCUUUUAACCUCAGUGAGACUUAGUUUCUUUUUUAAUGCAGUAGUUAUUUAAUUAAUGAUUUCACUCUUCUUUUAUUUGUUUUUUAUUUAUAUCUCAUGUAAUUUUAUUUUACAGUUCCAAUGUACAGCACUUUGUGUCAGCUGUGGUUGUUUUAAAGUGCUUUAUAAAUAAAGUUGAUGAUGAUGAUGAUGAAUGUAGCUAACAGAAGAAGAAAAAUUAGCUGUGGCACAGUCAAAAGUAAUUCGAAAUUAUGCGCUGCUAUUAGUCUGAAGUGGUCAGUACCUGUAUUAACGUCAUGAAACCUGUGUGCGAAGUUAAACUGUAAUCGCAGAAUAAUGUUUGUGACUAUGUCAGUCUUCCAUGUGACUUUAUCUAUUUUUCUUUUUUUUUUUUUACUGUGCUGGAUUACUUUUAUUGCUUUGUGUCAAAACAAAACAAUAACUGUGCAGUAGUAACUAUGAGGUCUGUUAAUGUUUUUCUUUAAUGUGCAGGAAGGAGAGGAAACACAAGCAGCACUUUAGGAUACUGAGAAACUGAGUUCAUUGAGCAAAGUAGUGAUUUUAAAACUAGAAACUUGAUUUUGGUAGAAACUGCUUUUUCAAACUGGUGUCCAUUUACUGCAGCUUUCUGAUAGUUAAGUCACUGCAUGAUGCUCAUUCAUACAGGCAGACUGAGAGUUAUAUCUACUCCCAUAGAAAAAGAAGCACUCACAUUACCUACACGUUACUUAAUGUAACUGCACAUUACCGUUUUUUUAACACAUGCUAGAAUGUAUGUGUACGCAACAGCAAUAAGCUAGCUAACGUAUUUAGUGCACUUAUGAAAAAAUAUCCACACUCAUGCUUUAAAUGCGUCAUCGCUUUGCCUUGUACGAAGACAGCUUUAGCUGCCACGCUUGCCUCAUGUAUGCAUAUCGCUUUGAAAUAGAAAUAACAUGCUUUGCUUUGUGUACGCGAUGUAUAUGAUAAUAUCUACUUGUGUUUGUAAUUUGAUUCAUUUUGUACUUUUAAAAGGUUCUUUUAUAUUUGAUCACAUUUACUGUUCAUGAAAUGAUCUGGACAAGGUUUUGUGUUAAAGUUUGAGGAUGUUUAGAGAGCAGAUAGUUAUCACUGACAGACUUGAGUUAGUUUGCUGAUUCAUUAUAACCUCGUCACCUUGUCACUGGACGACCUCCUUUCAUUAGUACAAAUCACCUCAUCUCUGAGAGGAUUUCCACAAAAGAGCUGUGGAUGGUAGUCGUGUCAUUAAGUGUGCUGUUGAUAUGACAAAAAUAAAGCCAUUUGCCAUGAUCAAA
ensembl:lncRNA